UACAGAGGGUGCAAGCGUUGUUCGGAUUUACUGGGCGUAAAGCGUGCGUAGGCGGUAUUGAGAGUCAUAGGUGAAAUCCCAGGGCUUAACCCUGGAACUGCCCGUGAGACCUCAGUACUAGAGUGUGAGAGGGGAUGGUGGAAUUCCUAGUGUAGCGGUGAAAUGCGUAGAGAUUAGGAGGAACACCGGUGGCGAAGGCGACCAUCUGGCUCACAACUGACGCUCAGGCACGAAAGCAUGGGUAGCAAACAGG
rnacentral:rRNA from 1 species